AGUGAACGCUGGCGGUAGGCCUAACACAUGCAAGUCGAACGGCAGCACAGUAAGAGCUUGCUCUUACGGGUGGCGAGUGGCGGACGGGUGAGGAAUACAUCGGAAUCUACUUUUUCGUGGGGGAUAACGUAGGGAAACUUACGCUAAUACCGCAUACGACCUACGGGUGAAAGCAGGGGAUCUUCGGACCUUGCGCGAUUGAAUGAGCCGAUGUCGGAUUAGCUAGUUGGCGGGGUAAAGGCCCACCAAGGCGACGAUCCGUAGCUGGUCUGAGAGGAUGGUCAGCCACACUGGAACUGAGACACGGUCCAGACUCCUACGGUAGGCAGCAGUGGGGAAUAUUGGACAAUGGGCGCAAGCCUGAUCCAGCCAUACCGCGUGGGUGAAGAAGGCCUUCGGGUUGUAAAGCCCUUUUGUUGGGAAAGAAAAGCAGCAGGUUAAUACCCCGCUGUUCUGACGGUACCCAAAGAAUAAGCACCGGCUAACUUCGUG
rnacentral:rRNA from 1 species